rnacentral:rRNA from 1 species
GUGCAGCAGGCGCGAAAAUUUUGCAAUGCGCGCAAGCGUGACAAAGUCAUCCCGAGUGCCACCCGCUGAGGGUGGCUUUUCUCUGCUGUAAGAAGGCAGAGGAAUAAGGAGAGGGCAAGUCUGGUGUCAGCCGCCGCGGUAAUACCAGCUCUCCGAGUGGUAGGGAUGAUUAUUGGGCUUAAAGCGUCCGUAGCUGGCCUUUCAAGUCUCUUGUUAAAUCCAGCGAUUCAAUCGUUGGACUGCGGGAGAUACUGUUAGGCUAGGGGGCGGGAGAAGCCGACGGUAUUUCCGGGGUAGGGGUAAAAUCCUAUAAUCCCGGGAAGACCACCAGUGGCGUAGGCGGUCGGCUAGCACGCGCUCGACAGUGAGGGACGAAAGCUGGUGUAGCGAACCGGAUUAGAUACCCGGGUAGUCC